GACGAGCCACACGAACGUUAUUCGGAAUUACUGGGCUUAAAGGGUGCGUAGGCGGUGCGGCAAGUUGGGUGUGAAAUCCCUCGGCUCAACCGAGGAACUGCGCUCAAAACUACCGUACUUGAGGAAGAUAGAGGUGAGCGGAACUUACGGUGGAGCGGUGAAAUGCGUUGAUAUCGUAAGGAACACCCGUGGCGAAAGCGGCUCACUGGGUCUUUUCUGACGCUGAUGCACGAAAGCUAGGGGAGCAAACGGG
rnacentral:rRNA from 1 species